AGGGCGUAUGGCGGAUGCCUAGGCUCACGGAGGCGAUGAAGGACGUGAUAAGCUGCGAUAAGCUUCGGGUAGGUGCAAAUAACCUUUGAUCCGAAGAUUUCCGAAUGGGACAACCUAGCCGUCUGAAGGACGGUUACUCUUACCAAUGUAAGAGAGCUAACGCAGGGAACUGAAACAUCUUAGUACCUGCAGGAAGAGAAAAUAAAUGAAUGAUUCCCCCAGUAGUGGCGAGCGAACGGGGAACAGCCCAAACCAGUGGCGUCGCAAGGCGUGGCUGGGGUUGUAGGACCGCGACAUUGUAUUGAAAUGGUGAGUGGAAGUAUCUGGAAAGUUACAUCACAGAAGGUGAUAAUCCUGUACACGAAGCCAAAUCAAGCAUAGCGGUAUCCUGAGUAACGCGGGACACGAGGAAUCCUGCGCGAAUCUGCCGGGACCAUCCGGUAAGGCUAAAUACUCCCGUGAGACCGAUAGCGAACGAGUACUGUGAAGGAAAGGUGAAAAGAACCCCGAGCAGGGGAGUGAAAUAGUUCCUGAAACCAUACGCCUACAAGCGGUCGGAGCAUCGCAAGAUGUGACGGCGUGCCUUUUGCAUAAUGAUCCUACGAGUUACCGUCACUGGCGAGGUUGAGUGUCAUGAGACACGUAGCCGCAGUGAAAGCGAGCCUGAACAGGGCGCACAGUCAGUGGGGGUAGACGCGAAACCAAGUGAUCUACACUUGGCCAGGAUGAAGUCCCGGUAACACGGGAUGGAGGUCCGCACCAAUAAGCGUUGAAAAGCUUCUGGAUGAGCCGAGUGUAGGAGUGAAAGGCCAAUCAAACUUGGAGAUAGCUCGUACUCCCCGAAAGGCAUUUAGGUGCCGCGUCGGAUGGUCACCGUGAGAGGUAGAGCGACCGAUAGGACAAGAGGGCUUCACCGCCUAUCGAGUCCUGACGAACUCCGAAUGCUCACGGUUUGCAGUCCGGCAGUAAGGGGGCGGGUGCUAAGGUCCGUCCCCGAGAGGAGAAGAAUCCAGACCGCCGUCUAAGGUCCCGGAGUUCUGCCUGAGUUAGUCUAACGAAGUCUGGUCCCUAUGACAGCUAGGAUGUUGGCUUGGAAGCAGCCAUUCAUUCAAAGAGUGCGUAACAGCUCACUAGUCGAGGGUCCGGGCAUGGAUAAUAAUCGGGUAUAAGGCAGACACCGAAGGCGCGGGAUAGCAAUUAUAAAAGUAUCGGUAGGGGAGCAUACUCACAGCGUCGAAUGGUGUACGUAAGUUAUCCUGGAGCGGUGAGUAAAGCAAAUGUAGGAAUAAGUAACGAUAAGGAGGGUUAGAUUCCCUCCCGCUGUAAGACCAAGGUUUCCCGGGCAAUGCCAAUCAGCCCGGGGUCAGUCGGGUCCUAAGUCUAAGCCGAACGGCGAUGGCGAUGGCAGAGACGGUUAAUAUUCCGUCACUGCCGCAUGGGGCGACGUGGAGACGGAGCAGUGAAACCACCGCGGGGCGACGGAAGUCCCCGUUGAAGAGUGUAGGUGUUGAGAGGGGCAGGCAAAUCCACCCCUUGAGCUGAACUUGACAGUACGGAGUCCUCUUCGGAGGAAUCUGAUAGUGUGGGUAAUCAUACUCCCGAGAAAAUCCGCUAAGCUUAACCCAUGCGGCACCCGUACCGCAAACGGACACACGUGGUCGGGUAGAACAUACUAAGGCGUUGAGAGAUUCAUGGUUAAGGAACUAGGCAAACUGACCCCGUAACUUCGGGAUAAGGGGUCCUCGUGAAUAGCGAGGCGCAGAGAAUAGGUCCAGGCAACUGUUUAACAAAAACACAGGGCUGUGCGAAAUCGAAAGAUGAGGUAUACAGCCUGACACCUGCCCGGUGCCGGAAGGUUAAGAGGAGAUGUCACCGCAAGGGAAGCAUUGAAUUGAAGCCCCGGUAAACGGCGGCCGUAACUAUAACGGUCCUAAGGUAGCGAAAUUCCUUGUCGGGUAAGUUCCGACCUGCACGAAUGGUGUAAUGAUCCGGACACUGUCUCAACCGUGAGCUCGGUGAAAUUGUAGUAUCGGUGAAGAUGCCGAUUA
rnacentral:rRNA from 1 species